rnacentral:lncRNA from 1 species
AUCUGUAGAUGAAUGCCGGUGAAGUUGUCAAAACUGUUUAAUUAUCGAAUGUCAUGUGUACACUAGUCUCUCGUCCUUAGUGAAUGGAAUAUUGGAUAGAAUUGACUGUUUUUACGAUUUUACCUUAUAUAGAAACUAGCAACUAGAACUUUGGUUCAGAUCAUUUCACUUCUAUCAACAAAAACUUGAAUGAACCUCAACUUAGACACAUGAGUUUUUUAAUUAGUUGUUAGUUUUCAACUAGCUUUCCACUUUGUCUUCACCAGACUUGCCAAUGUUGGUCGUCCGUUUGGCUGUGCAGGAUGUAUAAAUACGCAGUCACGUCUGGUCAGAAUGGGGACAUUAAAUCCGAUGCCUAGUUAUAAAGAGAAUGCAACUCUUUGAGGAGUUCGUAGUUAGUCUACUGAAAGGCCAAAUUUCUGCUCCUAUCCAAUAAUCCUUCAUUUUCCAAUGCAUGGCAUUUUUAAAUUUCCAGACCUUCGUCCUGGACGACACCUAUUACAGCUAGCUCCAAGUUGUAUUCAUUAUAAAAUUUAUUUCUUUCAACGGUCCUUAACUUGCAUACAUAUUUGACACUGGAUAUUAAAAAAUCAAUCAAUCAACUGGCUUCCAGUAAUUUUGAGUACUCUCAAAUCUGCGUGUAAUGGCCACAAUUAUUCAAAAUUCCUAAGCAGGUAGGGAUUUUACAGUAGAGGAUAUAAAGAAAUACGAAUUUCUU